GUCAGUGUAGUUUAGUGGUUUGAAUGCUGGACUAUGACUCUGAAGAUCAGGAUUCGGUUCCCCACUCGGUCA